GGGGAUGCAAGGCAUAGACAAGAGCGUACAUCUCGUAUGUGCAAGGUGGAGCUCCAACAACUCUGUAAACUGUUGGAAACCUAACUGCAAAAACAGUUGCUAAGGCAAUCGUUUCUCCAUUUUUUGGAGUAAAUGAUUUUGCUUUCGCUCGCGCUUCGGCGUAAGCGACAUUCUACGGCCAACGCCCGAGCGGCCGGACAGAAUGUUAUUCAAGGGCUAGAAAUACGGCUCUUCUCGACCGCGUUUUGAAACCAAGAGAAUCGUUCAUACAAUGUUUUGUUUGUUUAUAGUUGUAUGAAUUAAAAAAUGAAACACAACUAGACCUUGUAGAUGCAUAUGCGAUUAUCUUUUGCACGGAGGUUCAAUUCCUCUCAUCUCCAA
rnacentral:tmRNA from 1 species